rnacentral:rRNA from 1 species
AGAGUUUGAUCCUGGCUCAGAAUGAACGCUGGCGGCAUGGCUAAGACAUGCAAGUCGAACGGACCAUUUAAUUUAUUAGGUGGUUAGUGGCGAAAGGGUGAGGAAUAAAUAGGUAACGUAUCCCGUAUUUCAGAAUAGCGUCUAGGUGCUUGCACCUUUCCGGAAGGGGCAGUAAUGCUGAAUAAUAUCAUUUGCUUAAUGCUUAUGAUCAAAGAUUUAUCGAUACGGGCGCGGCCUAUUUCCUAUCAGCUUGUUGGUGAGGUAACGGCUCACCAAGGCGACGACGGGUAGCGGGACUGAGAGGUUGGCCCGCCACAUCGGGACUGAGACACUGCCCGGACCUCCACGGAGGGCUGCAGUAACGAAUAUUGGGCAAUGGGCGAAAGCCUGACCCAGCAAUGCCGCGUGUAGGAUGAAGCCCCUCGGGGUGUAAACUAUUGUCAGGGAUUAGAAAGCUACGGUUGAUCAAUCCCAGAGGAAGUCACGGCUAACUUCGUGCCAGCAGCCGCGGUAAUACGAAGGUGGCAAGCGUUAUUCGAAAUCACUGGGCUUAAAGGGCGCGUAGGCGGACAUACAAGUGUUUGGUGAAAUCCCCCGGCUUAACCGGGGAAUUGCUUGGCAAACUGUAUGUCUUGAGUCAAGUAGGGGUGUGUGGAACUCUUGGUGGAGCGGUGGAAUGCGUAGAUAUCAGGAGGAACGCCGAAGGUGAAGACAGCACACUAGGCUUGAACUGACGCCGAGGCGCGAAAGCGUGGGGAGCAAACAGGAUUAGAUACCCUGGUAGUCCACGCCGUAAACGAUGUAUACUAGGUCGCGGGGGUUCUGACACCGUCGCGGUCGAAGCAAAAGUGUUAAGUAUACCGCCUGGGGAGUACGGUCGCAAGGCUAAAACUCAAAGGAAUUGACGGGGGCUCACACAAGCGGUGGAGCAUGUGGAUUAAUUCGAAUCAACGCGCAGAACCUUACCUGGGUUUGACAUGUUUGGAUGCCUAUCUGGAAACAGAGUCGGUUGCCCUUCGGGGUGAAACUUACACAGGUGCUGCAUGGCUGUCGUCAGCUCGUGUCGUGAGAUGUCGGGUUAAGUCCUUUAACGAGCGAAACCCUUACCGUUAGUUGCCAGCGCGUCAUGGCGGGGACUCUAGCGGGACUGCCGGUGUUAAACCGGAGGAAGGUGGGGAUGACGUCAAGUCCUCAUGGCCUUUAUGCCCAGGGCUUCACACGUGCUACAAUGGAGACUACAAAGCGACGCGAUACCGUGAGGUGGAGCAAAUCGCAAAAAAGUCGCCCCAGUUCAGAUUGCAGGCUGGCAACUCGCCUGCAUGAAGUUGGAAUCGCUAGUAAUCGCGUAUCAGCGAUGACGCGGUGAAUGUGUUCCUGAGCCUUGUACACACCGCCCGUCAAAUCACGGAAGCUGGGAGUACCCGAAGUCGGAUUGCUAACUUUUUAAGAAGCGUCUGCCGACGGUAAAUCUGGUGACUGGGAUUAAGUCGAAACAAGGUA